GCGGAGCAGCCACUCGCCCCUCAGAGCCAUGCUGGGCUUUCGGCGAGGCUCAGCGCUGCUGGGCACCCUGCUGCGGACCCCGCGGAGCCCCCCACGGGCACCGCUCAGCUCCAAGCCGCCCGAGCACCAGCUCUCUGCUGCUGAGCAAGCCAUCGCGCUGUCAGCCAUGUUCUUGUCCUUCCUGGGACCAUCUGCCUGGGUCCUGGCACACGUGGAGCACUACAAGAGCAGGACAGAGUAAGGAUGGCAAGAACCUGUGCCCUGUGGGGAGCAGAAGCAUGAGCGUGGGUCAGAGCACCGAAGAGACCUGCACCAAGGAUGGACACUCCUAGCUUGGUCAUUAAAGGUCACAGUGCUCAGCUUGA